ACGGGUGAGUAAUACAUCGGAACGUAUCCUGGAGUGGGGGAUAGCCCGGCGAAAGCCGGAUUAAUACCGCAUACGCUCUGAGGAGGAAAGCGGGGGACCUUCGGGCCUCGCGCUCAAGGGGCGGCCGAUGGCGGAUUAGGUAGUUGGUGGGGUAAAGGCCUACCAAGCCGACGAUCCGUAGCUGGUCUGAGAGGACGACCAGCUACACUGGGACUGAGACACGGCCCAGACUCCUACGGGAGGCAGCAGUGGGGAAUUUUGGACAAUGGGGGCAACCCUGAUCCAGCAAUGCCGCGUGUGUGAAGAAGGCCUUCGGGUUGUAAAGCACUUUUGUCCGGAAAGAAAUCAUCGGGGCCAAUACCCCUGGUGGAUGACGGUACCGGAAGAAUAAGCACCGGCUAACUACGUGCCAGCAGCCGCGGUAAUACGUAGGGUGCGAGCGUUAAUCGGAAUUACUGGGCGUAAAGCGUGCGCAGGCGGUGCUGUAAGACCGAUGUGAAAUCCCCGGGCUUAACCUGGGAACUGCAUUGGUGACUGCAGCGCUGGAGUAUGGCAGAGGGGGGGUGGAAUUCCACGU
rnacentral:rRNA from 1 species